UUAGACCCAGACCAGUGCCAAAGGCUCAAUGGCAGAAUAGAAUCAAAGAUGGGAGAAUUGUCUCUAGUUUUUGUUUAAUCUGUAGUUUUUCUUUCCUAGGAUUCUCAGAGCCGGCAAGGAGGAUACAGCAUGCAUCAGCUCCAGGGCAAUAAGGAAUAUGGCAGUGAAAAGAAGGGGUACCUGCUAAAGAAAAGUGACGGGAUCCGGAAAGUAUGGCAGAGGAGGAAGUGUUCAGUCAAGAAUGGGAUUCUGACCAUCUCACAUGCCACAGUAAGUAUGUUUCUUAAUUUACCCUGCCUCAUGGGCCAGAAAGCAAACACGAUUAUGUACUCAGCAGUAAAAAUUGGCGCAAAUAUAUUUAUGCAUUUGGGUCAGAUCAUUUUAGAUAUUCCUUUACCAAA
rnacentral:lncRNA from 1 species